rnacentral:misc_RNA from 1 species
AACGCAUCUUGCGCUCCUUGGUAUUCCGAGGAGCAUGCCUGUUUGAGUGUCAUGGUAUUCUCAAUCCAUUCUGGAUUUUUGAAAAGAAAUCUGUUUGGGUUGGAUAUGGAGGUUUAAUGUUGGUUAUAUUCAAUCAACUCCUCUGAAAUACAUCAGUAGAAAUAAAAUGCUGUCUUCAGUGUGAUAAUUAUCUGCAUUGUGGAAUGGCGUAUGAAGUUUCUGCUUCCAACUGUCUGUUUGCUCAGACAUUUAUUAUGACAUCUGACCUCAAAUCAGGUAGGAUUACCCGCUGAACUUAA